UAUGCCUUCAUCUUCAUUUCCUAGCACAUGGUUAGCAUAAGUGGUCAUUCAAUCCAAGGUUAGGGAAUGUCUGCAAAGAUGAAGAGAGAAUUUGCUCCUAUUUCUUUGAGGUGAUGCUAAUGCAAAUGGCUUGAUUAGGGAGAAUUUCCUUGCCUAUUUAACAACCUAACAGAAUCCUGCAGCAUAUGCUAGCACACUAGUUCAAAAAAAUCUGCCAAGAUGAUCCUCACAGCACCUCAUCAUUUGCAACCGCUGAUUCAGAGAUCUGAAGCGAUUGUUGUGGCUUCAUUUAAACCCACUGUCAAUGAAAUCUUAAAUACAUCCUUUGAAUUUAGGACUUUCUUGCAGCCAGCCACUCUAAUCAUAGAAGUGGUCAUUUGUACUGGAGUGUCAUCAACGCUGUAUUGUUGGAGUAGUACAUUUUAUUCAGCGUUACAGAGUUGAGGGGAGUGAGCAGAAUGCAUCUUUUGUCACACUGCUGCCCUCAAUAGAUAUUCCCCCUGAAAAGAAUACAGUCAAAAGAGUCAUGGAUUCAUGAAACUAUUGAUCCUUAAAUGUAAGACUCCUGUUUCUGUUUCCCACUCUCCUACCCUCAUGAAUUUCCCAAGGUCCUCUGGGUCCUUUUCAUGGGAAGAUAUUUGAACAAAGGCAGUUUUGUCAUGAUUAGAUCCUCCACACAGAACACCUGAAAGGUCAUUCAGUCUUUUAUCUCUGAAGCAACUAACCUUCUUUGGAAGUAAAUGAAAUAUGUCUCUUUGCUGCAGAUUGGUUUCAAAAAUAGGAAAAGAUAGAACAAUAGGUACAUUAUGCAGAGUGUUUUUGAAAGAAAACUUUUAUAAAUUGGUAAUUUAGAAAAUCAGUAGGCUGCCGACGAGACACAGCAUCCUCUGUUGAGCUUUUCGCUACAGCAGAAGAGUCAUUUGAGUACACUCUUUAAUCAAACUUUUUUUACAAUUUAUACCAGGUCUAUGCAGAAUUGAGUACUUGAGCUGAGUGAUAUAUUCUAAUGCCUUCUAUUUCCAUGAAAUCUAAGAUGCUACUUUAUCAAACUCAUUUUUCACAGGAGGGAGUUUAAGCAGAGAGAGAGGUUAAGCAGUACAACCAAGGUCAUGCUGAAAGUGAACAUUAGAAAUAGAUGUUCUCAUCCUUCCUUUUGGACUCACUGCUCCUGUUGCUUACAAAGAAUGAUAUGACUGAUAUCAUUUUCACCAAGCUAUCCCCAUAACUUGCUGUACCUGUUAACAACCACACUUAUUUUCACUAGGUACUCAGCAACAUGGCCUUAGUCUUAGAAAAAGCAGGACUCUUUCCCAGCACUAGGGGAUGAAUCCCAGUUGAUCAGAAUAUCAACACUGAUAUUAUUAAAACUGAUCCUUUUAGUCCCUAAAUGCUAACGGUUGCUCUAGGGGUAAACAUGUAACCCCUUCCAGAAGAUGAGAAUUGAAUGUAAAUGAAUUAGAAGGCUUCUCUUCCUGAAGUAAACUAUGGGGUUCUUAAAUCUACUUUGUGUGAUUGUAUGAGGAUGCUUAGAGCUAUAAUAACCAUCCUUGCCUAUGAGGUAGCCAAGAGAGACACGAAAAUGGCUUGGGGUUCUCAAGUAUAUUUAUGAGCUAAUAUAACAAAUUUGGAACCACCUACAUCCAGAUUUCUUGUUAAAUAAGUUAAUUAAAAGUCUUUAUAGCUGACACCACUAUAUUCCUUUAUAUGCAGUUGAAAGCAGUUCUAGCAGUUGGGGUCAGAAUCACAGGUAAAAUGCCUUUCAUGCUUACAUUGAAACCUAGACCUAGAGGGGCAUGGUGUAACUAAGACUUGAAUGAAAAGAGAGGGUCUUUAAGUCCUUAUAAUGAAGGGCAAAUAAUGUAAAGAGCUGAUGUCCUCCUUCAGUCACAACUAAGAACAAUUUUGAGCAGAAGUGCAGUAGAUUUUGUACUGAUUCAGGCUAGCUGGAGGUCCACAAUAAGAUCAGACUAGGGAAACAGUCAUAAAUAGCACAGGCCAUAAAGAUAUUAGAAGGCAACUUCUAGAGUUCCUGUGGUGGCACAGUGGAGACGAAUCCGACUAGGAACCAUGAGGUUGCAGGUUCCAUCCCUGGCCUCGCUCAGUGGGUUAGGGAUCUGGCAUUGCCGUGAGAUGUGGUAUAAGUUGCAGAUGCAGCUCGGAUCCGGCAUUGCUGUGGCUGUGGCAUAGGCUGGCAGCUGUAGCUCCGAUUAGACCCCAAGCCUGGGAACCUCCAUAUGCCCCAGAUGCGGCCUUUGCAAGACACACACACACACACACACACACACACAAAGUCAACUUCUUCCAAUAAUUUGGCAUGAGCUAAAGCAAGUGGAAAUAAUACCAAAAUCUAGCCCAGAAAGCCUGGUUAUGAACUAAAAUCGGCAACCUGCCCCAUCUGGUAAAAUCUGACUUGCUCCUGGUUUUUGUAAAUAAAGUUUUAUUAGAACACACACAGAGCCACCUGUUUAUGCAGUAUACAUUUCAAUGGCAGAAUUGAGUAGUUGAAAUGGAGACCAUAUGACCCACAGAGACUACCAUAUUUACUAUCUGGCUCCUUAUAGACAAAGUUUCUCAAACCCUGGGGUUGAGUGUCCUUUGAGGAUUUCAUAGUCUGGGGACAUAGAAAGUCCAUGGGUAAUGUAAUAAAUGGAAAAUGGGGGCGGGAGGACUGAGAAAAUGAAGCUUCCCCUUAGAGGUAUCUGAAUGGGGAAAAAGAAAGAGCUACUACCCCACGACAUCACAAAAAUGCUUUGCAUCGGUGCCAGUGACUAACACUGCAGUAAACGCUGUGUUUGCAUAACUGAAUAGCCCUGCUAGUAUUUUAUGAAAGGGAUUUUUGAUAUGCUGAGCAUCUGACUACUCAUUGGCUCUGGUAUUUAGGCAAGUAGCCUAAACAAGUGAGUGCACAUGCAGAGCAGCUCAAGAUGAGACUGUAGAUAGAUGGGGCGGUGUGGGCUUUGGGUACUGAGAUAGAGGAACGGGAGAGAGUAGUGCUGACAUACAAAGCUUUAGCUUUCUAUUUCAUCUCAUAGAUUGCUUUUGGCCCCAGGCCUGACUGAUGUUUUACCAUUACCCAUCAAUAUGAUUACACAUGCUUUGGAUCCAAAAGUGCAUUCUCCAAACUAAGCAUCAUCAAAAAUGCAACAAAGGAGGAGAUGGCUCAUGACAAUUCAAAUGCCUCUGCAUAGAAAGAAAAAUAAACAUUUCGUUUUCCUAAAACUUGCUCUGAAAGCUGAAAUUCACAUAAUGAAUUCAUAAAGAGACUCUGCCAUGAUAGGAAUAAUUUGGCCCUAAAAUAAGAGCUGCUUUUAUUCAUGUAAUAAAUGCUUGGCAGUAUUGAAGGUGUUCUCCUCCUUCUUUCUGCCCAUGUUUACAAUGUUGCCAAGAAGUAGAAAGCUUAAAGGGGGCCUUGGGGCUGAAAUUUUACCCUAAAAUGUUUGACCAGGAGACAACAUCAUGACCAGUGUCAGAACCAUGUCUCUUCAUGAGUAACCACAGGAAUAGAAUCCUUACCUGCACAUACUUGCACCAUCACUUAAAUCCAAUAAUUGAAACACGGAGUUAAAAACAAAAAACAAAAAACAGGGAGUUCCCCUGGUGGCUCAACGAACAAAUCCAACUAAUAUCCAUGAGGAUGCAGGUUUGAUCUCUGGCCUAGCUCAGUUGGGUUAAGGUUUGGUGUUGCUAUGAGCUGUGAUGUAGGUUGCAGAUACAGCUCAGAUCCCAAGCUGUUGUGGCCAUGGCUUGGCCGGCACCUGUAGCUCUGAUUCAACCCCUAGCCUGGGAACUUCCAUAUGCUGCGGGUACAGUCCUAAAAAAAAAAAAAAAAAAGAAAAGAAAAGCCAGAACCCAAUAAAAGCUUUAGGUUUAGGGUGAAUUUUUUCAAAUACAAGGUGAUUUUUACAAAAAUGCUUUUGUAUAUCCCUCUACAUGGACUUCCUUCUUCUCCCGUGGUCUGGAUAAUGGCCACCGACCUUACUUACAGUUCAAGUGUCAUGUCCUUAUGUAAGACUUUUCCCCCCAUCUCUCCUAGUCCCAAUUAAUGCCACACUCUUAUAUUUGCUCAGUGCCCUCUCCAUGGUACAACUAUGUAUUUAAAAAGCUGGUUAAUAUUUUUGUCUCUCCUGAGAUGAAGGGACAUUUUUUUUUUUUUCAUAUCUCUAUCCCCAUUGUCCAUUGCAAUGCCUGGAGCUGUCUGCUGAAGAACUUUAUACAGAACACCGAAGGAAUAGCAUGAUAACUUAUUUUCCUCCAUCCAAGACUAAUCUUUCUUUCUCUGAAAUGAAAAGUGAUUAUUGACCC
rnacentral:lncRNA from 1 species